UAUUCCUGACGCUCUUUUUUACUUCCCUCCCCUAACUUUUUCUAUAACACCCACCCACCACCCCUCAUCUCACCUGCUUUGCUUUCCCUUCUGUUUUCUCUCUGCCUCAGCAUCCUUGGUGCACAGUACCUACAAGUGUGGGCAUAGAGACAUGAGGAUUAAGGACCACUGUUGAAGAAAGAUGAGGUGAACACUGUCCAUGUCAUCAGUUAUCAAGAACAGGUGCGUUAAGAAAUGUCCAGCUAGAUGGUCGUAGAUGCGUGAGUCCAAGGACCUUUACAUGAACCCUGAGCUCAGGACAUGUAGCUUUUAUUCCCAAUGCUAUUGAUUUUUCCUGUACCCCCUGAAGACGUUAUUGCUUAUUUUGGAAUCUCACAUACAUUUUCUGGAACACGGAUGGGAAUUUUCCUCUCCUUACAACACAGAACUCAGCGAAGUUUUCCAGAAAUACUCAGCACUUUCCAAAAUCUUCAUGAAUCAUCAGCCAGUUUCUUCAAGGAACAAAUGAUGGAACAGUAGUUCUGGACAGACAUAUCAUUGUGACUGGAGUUCCUUAUCCAGAUUCUGAGUUUAAACUUCACAAAUGAUGGCAGUGGGCACCCUGUGAGAUGGGAAUGUCUCAUCUUCUUUGGGGGACAUGACUAAAAUAGGGGAGGAGGACCCAGAAAGGAACUGCACUGUCAUUGGCUGAGAAGGUCCUGGCAACAACACAGUGGUAGCUGUGCUGGUUCUAAGUCCUUAGUAGCAGCUGUUGCUUCUAUUCUCUGGAACCCCUAUAAGCCUAAGAUGAAACACAAAGACUGAGCUCUGAGCCCAUGAUCCUGGUUCAUCCUUGAAGUAUGAGGCUGGUGACUGGAGUAACUGUGUUUCUGACCUUGGGAAUUGUGGUUGAUGCUAAGACCACUCAACUUAGCUCCAUGGACUGUGCUGAAGGAGAAGAUGUAAAGCUGUCUUGUAACCACUCUACCGUCAGUGGAAGUGACUAUAUACUUUGGUAUCGGCAAAAUCCCAAUCAGAGUCCACAGUAUAUCAUUCAUGGCUUACAAAACACGGUGACCAACAGCAUGGGCUCUCUGACCAUAGCUUCAGACAGAAAGUCCAGCACCUUGGUCCUACCCAAGCUUACCCUGAGAGACACAGCUGUGUACUACUGCGCCCUGAGACCCACAGUGAGACAAAUGGGGCUGCACCUGUGCAGUAUCUCUCCAGUGACAAGGAGGAGAGUUGGGGUGGGGAGAUGGAAAGCAGUCACCAAGAGCAAAUCUAGAGCCAUCCAGAAGGAGAGUCAAAGAGCAAAAAUUAAUGAGGACAAUAAAGGAAAGAGACACUGUGGAUAAAGAAAGGAAGAAAGGCAGCAUGAAGAGAGAGAGGACAAGGAACUUUGCUGCCUGACAUGGCUGAGAAUUAUGAGGAGUCUAAGAAUCACAAUUUUAACACAACAAUAAAGUGAAGAGGUAGUAAUUUAUCAUGGCUCCCCUCAUGUCAAUAAAAUACUGGUUUUAGUGUGUUUGUCUCAACAUAAACAUUGAGAAAAAUACAAGUAAUCUAAUUUGUCCCACACGCUUCUUUCGUUUGUACCAGGGUAAGUCCAGACUCUGAAAUGCCCCCCCCCCUUUUUUGUCUUUUUACCA